UAUCUUAGCUCAACCCCUUCCAGUCCUGUGACCUUGGGCAUGUCGUUUGACUCUGAGUGUUAGUUCCCACAUGUGUGAAAUUGGAGAUAGUGACAUAACCUGCUCCACCAAGCUGUGGUGAAAAUCAAGCAAGUCCAUCAGGUUUUGCCUGCACCAACCCCCGCCCCACUCCAAGGUUCAGGAUUGCUGAGAUGCAGCAGGAGAGUUAUAGGGGAUGCACUUGAGGCUGAGGGGCCAGCUGGGAGGUGGCACAGACAAGCCAUGAGAGAAGCCGGUGGCCUGGCCCAGGCAGUGACCAAAGGAGUGGAGAGAGCCGACGUGCCAAGUGUCUCUGAGAGGAGAGCUGCACGGGCCCAGUGACAUCCUGGCUGGGGGUGAAGGAGGACUCGUCAAUGAGGACUGACCCCUCCCAGAUUCCAGCUUGGCUUUGCCUUCCAGUUGCAAAAAAUGGUAUCUUCUUACCACUAAAGAGGUGGAAAAUGCAGGAAAUCACAAAGAAGAAAAACAUCGCCAGCAACCCUGGAGCCCUGAAAGAAAAAUCACUGUGGCUAUUUUCACAUUUUCUCUUCCAGAUUUUCUUCAGUAUGUAUAAUAUAUGCACACCAAUAAAUAAGUGUUUUACAAAACAGA
rnacentral:lncRNA from 1 species